GGCCUGAUUAUAUUGAGAUAUCAAGAAAUAAUAUUUCAGCCUGCACAACACAUACUAAACUGUCAAUUUACUUGGUUGAUUUCUUCCUUCUAUUGCAGUACAAAGUAGUGAAAUUGUGUUGCCAAUUGUAGAUAUACAGAACUUAUGCUUUUCGAUUCCAGAGAUUAAUUGAGACUGAGUAUGAACAACGAGUUCAUGUUAUAUCAUUCAUGCUUUUUCUGAAUAUAACUGAAACUAUCUGUUCUAACUUGUGUGAACACAUGUUUUUCUGAAUAUAACUGAACAUUUGUGUCGUAACUGCUUACGUCCCUGUGUUUUAAGUUGCAAUAUGCACCACUCCUCCAUUUCAGUGACAUAGUAGAUGUUUACUGCUCUAUUAGAAAAACAUAAGGAAUUUGCUCAGUGCCAUGCACAUGUAGUUGGAACUCUUUUGUUACUGUUUUUUGCACUACCUACUUGUUUAUGUGCCAUAUGCAGGUUGUUAGAACGAAUUCUUUGAAACAAUGUAACGUGUUUCCUUUUCCUUCUGUAUGCACUUAUUAUCAUUUGCUUCAGCUAUAAUUUUGGAUGAUCAGUCAUACUAACUCAGUGUCUCAUCACGACUCGCAUUGUUGGAAGGCUGCGUUGCACCUCGCCGAAAGAUUCUCAGCCUAAUGGAGGUCGUUGAGAUGGAGGUUGUCGAGCUCAAGACUGUCCAGAUCUUCCCGUUGUCAUGUUGAAGCUAUGUUCCAGAAGUUUCACCUUUUGACGGUGCGACUACCUAUUAGAAUUAGAUUUUUUGUGUUUAGUGUCCUAAAGACCGAAUUGAAGCGAUCUUAUUUAGAGGUUACUUUUGUUAAUUUUAGAUUUAUUUCUAUUUGUCGCCGAAAAACUGUAAGAGUGCUAAUAUAUUUCGCCAUUUUCAUAAUUGCAUGUAAGCAUUGUUAUUCUGUUC